GCCGGAGUAACUCAGCUUGGUUAGAGUGCCAGACUCAUAAUCUGGAAGCCGAGAGUUCAAAUCUCUCCUCCGGCA
rnacentral:tRNA from 1 species